ACUUAUAGUCCGGAAAAUAUGGUAGUUUAAAAGUCAUUUAUGAUUGUAUAUAGAGUUGUUCCAUUUCCAACAAAAAUGCCGAAAAUGCUGGCAUCUGUAUCAAUGAGUACCGGUGUCCAGGCACCGAUCCGAUUCCAUGUAAUUUAUUUAAUUAGUUAUUCAUUUACUGGUUAUCUCCGUUAGCUCUGUUCUGUUUGAAUUCCCUUUAUAUCUAAAAAUAUUGUGGCUGCACUUUAAUUUUGAAAAAAUACUUGUUUCUAGAUUUAUUUAACAUACUGGUAUCAGGAUCGGUACUGGGUAUUAGCCGAUACCAACAGCACAAGUAUUGGAAUCGGUCUCGGGAGGGAAAAACUAGUAUUGGAAAUCACAAAUAUCCAUGGUAUGAGUCGCAUGGGAGGGCAACAUAAAUGCUGGACAGUAUCUCCAGGUUUCAGAGCUAUGGAUUCACUGUCUGGCUAAGGGUUUGGUCCAGGCUAGUCUUGCAGUUAAACCAGUCUCUACCGAUGAAAGGUGCUGAAAAUACCUUUGACAUGACAUGCUGCCAGACUGAAAUAAGAGUGUACAAUAUUGAAUCUGCAACGUCUGGAGUUGAAAUGCCACUCACAGCCCUCUGUCAUGUCUCUCAAACCUCUCUUCUUUUCCUGUUUCGUCUCUAAACACAAACCUACGAAGCAGAGACGUCGUAGACAUUGUGUUAAAAACAGAAAGCGCAGUAUUCCCUGGGACUCUCUUCAAGGGCUGAGUGAAACGUCACCCAAAUGAAGAAUGGCACCGAUAUCCAGCCAGAGGACAGCUUCCUCACUCUCCCUGUUUUCUGAGCCAGAUAAAUCAGCUCAAGGUUCCUCAGUGAUCCUCUGUGUGCCAGUGGAGGGGGGAUUUAUCAUUCUCAGAUAAAGGCUCGGUGCUCGUCAACGUUCCCUUUCACCCUCUGUGCUGAAUUUAUGAGAAGUGGUGGCAUUGUGUGUGAGCAGCCUUCCUAGUCACACAACAGAGUGCAAAAGGGCUGCACAACAAGACAAUCCAUUGUGUUCAUGCUAUUAAUUUUCCACCCAGAGGAUUACAUUCAGACAUUUGACAAAUUGUGUAUUACACAGUGAUUUGGAGAGGGGAAAGGGGACUGCAGCAAGGGUACAAACGGUGUCAAAUUCACCCUGUUUCUCAGAUGUGAAAUUUAUGUUUUACAAUUUUAUGAGCUGCAAAUUCUUAAUCAUUCUGAUUAAUUCUACAAGACCUGAUUUAAUUACUGUGAUUUCUUCUUCCUGCAGAGACUUUAUAGGCUGUCACUGCAGAGUACUAGUUGUCCUUUUAAGCCAAAUUGUUUUGUUUGCUAACUAAAAGGCACUGUGAGGAGUUUUCAUGUGUAGUGGACAAAAAAUCAGAAGCUUUCAAGCACCCUCGCCCACUGCUGUAAAGAUGUGGCCCCUGUAGAGCAUGCAUUUUGUUGUUUAAGUCAAUGAAUGCAAACAGAACAUGAAUUUUACCAAAAAAAAGGGGUGUCCCGAUACGAUAUCAGCAAAAAUUUGAAUAUCGGAUUAUAUCGGCCUGCAUCAAAUAUCUCCGAUACAAGCAGUCCACUCCAGACUCCGCUCCAGCACCUCUAUCUAGCAGCACUCGGAUCCAGCAUGUAGAGCCCAAGGGAUCACAACAACAGUGUGUACUAAAGUAAUAACAAAGUACCAAGGAGUAGGAGUGAUGUUGGCCCUGUGGCAGAAUUUUUCAUUAAAUUCCGAAAAAGAAGCUGCAGCUGAGUGCAAAAGAUGUGCCAAUAUCGGAUCAAUAUCGGUAUUGGACAAUACUGAAGGCUACAAUAUUGGAAUCGCAUUGGAGGUAAAAGGUUGUAUCGGACACCAAACCAUACCAAAAACUGCACAUUUAAUCCUGCAAUGAUCAACAUUAAAAGUAACAAAUGCGGCAUUCCCCAACUGCACUUCCUUGAGUGGCCACUUGAGGCGCCUAAUGAAACCUGAGUUAAAAAUGUCCAAUGUUACGCCUCACAGCAAAUAUAGCACAGCAAAUUUUGACUAUCAAAAGCCAGCAGGAUUCGACUUUUUUGUCAAAAUGCUCAUUAAACAUGUAGAGGACACAGGCAGAUUUGUCCACAGGGGGCGCCAAAUUCAGCACAAAACAAAAGUUCCUCACAGGAGCUUUAACAUAAAAAAUGUCCUGAUUUUCCAGAUUUUUUUACUUCGGAUUAUCUCGGUGACAGUCAGGUAACUGCUAACUGCUGGUUGUCUCCUGUCUACUUCAUCGAUUAUUUUUGCUGUUGAUGCCUUUUGCGAAACGUCUCUAACAUUCACUUUGUCCCGCUGUGGGAGGUUCACUUCACUCUCACUCUCUUUAACUGGCUCGUCAACUUCAUCACUGAUUUAUUUGUGGCUGCCAAUGCAUAUAAGUUAGCCUUGGCCUGAUUGAAGCUGCUAAAUGACUUACUGGUGAAGAAUGGCUGUGACGUGCAGCGGUAAUGUUGCAUAGAACAGGUGCUUUGUUCACUUCAUAUCACAAAUAUAAUACACUGUUGUAGCUUUUGUAACCGCUUUACCGGGAUCUGAGCAUGCCUCAACACUGACUACCUAUUGAUGUAACUAUCAAGCUAUUUUCUUCCCUGUGUCUGCAGCACUUCAUUGUUCUCUUCACAGGAGAUAAUCUAUAUCGCAAACACAACACCAGUAAAAGACAUGAUAAAGAAAUAAAAGUAAUUCAGCCAAGGACAGUCGAACCUGUGAAGAAAUACCCUCCCACCUCUUGUCAAGACUAGUAGAAAUACAGAAUGUUGGUUUGAGGGAUGAAUGUAAAAUAUUAAUGCAAGAUUUGAGCUUCUCUUUCACUUUGGUUCUGAACCAACUCACAGUUCAGGAAAUCGAUUCCACUUUAUGAAUUUCUCUCGGCUAAAGGUGGGAGAAAGAGCCGGUGUAGUGUCUAGCUUUGAUGCUGACAAAUAAGCGAAGAAAAGAUCUUAAAGUUUCUUGUAAAGUUGACUUUCAACAUAACUCAUGUUUUUCCUGUUAUUGAAUUAAGCAGAGUUUGGAGCUGACCAACAGUAAGGUGUUUCCUAUGACCAUGCAGUGGUUGCACGUGAGCUAAUGCUUUCCUCCCGGUCUCUAAAGAGCGAUGUGAAUCAGUACUAACUAAAGCUGGGGUUAAAAAAUAAACUGCAAUUACAGUUUAUUGUCAAAGGAGCUGGUCUAAACCAAGCCAUAUCAUCCAGUGAUGAGAAUAAAUGCAAAUGUGCCAAAAACUGCAGUUCCUCAAGUGUCCACUGGAGGCUGGCCCUGAAAGUCAAGGAAACCCCAUUUACGCUCAUGUUAAACAUCCAACUUUACAUUACCUUCACAGCUAAAUCAAGUAAUUUCGAAUUUAAGGAUAAUUGGAAUAAGGGGGUUCAAAGUCUGACAAAUAACCACCUUGAUAAGGUUUAGGGCUGGGGCGAUUCGUCAAUGUAGAUUGCUAAAAAGCAAUGUUGAGUGCUUUGUGAAUGUAAAAAAGCAUGGAUAAAAAUGCACUGUUUUUUGUUUUGUUGGAUUUCAAGAGAAUCUUAAACAAAUCAUUGAAUCAAAUACUAAUAGGACAAGUUUUUAAUUAUGUCGGUCAAAUUCAUUGUUAUGAUAAUAGGUUAAAAACAGUAAUUGUUAGAAUAGUCAAUAAAUUAGUCGAUAGAUUAGUCGACUUAUUGAAAAAAUAAUCGUUAGGUGCAGCCCUAAUAAGGUUUUUAUUCUGUUUACAACAUCUGAAAGUAAAAAAUUUGGAUAAUUUCUGUCUAACCCUUGCAGGCAUGCUAGCUGAGUACAAAUAACUUGUAAAUGUUUUUCCUGUAGUUUCAUCAAAAAGACCAAAACCAACAGUAAAGUCAUCAUAUCAGCACUUUCUGUCUUCGUGGUCAGAGCCUGAAUGUUUUAUUCCUCUCAGCUUCAGCUUUACUGUUGUUCAAAAACUAUUAAAAGCACAUCAUUAAGCAUCCCUGCUGCUCUUGGUGACACGUUCCCUCAUUACAAUAAACAAGGGCACUGUUGUUUAUUCUCAGUCUGCCCCAUACACACUGUCCUGCUGCUGCAAAUACUUACUAUGGAACAUAUGGUGUUCAGACUGCAGCUGAAAACGGCCCUCCACAAAUACAACAUUUAGUCCUGUUUGAGUAAUAGGUAAACAAAACUGUAGUGUCCAGGUGUUUGAGGAAAUACCUCAGCCUUUGUAAUGUGGCGUUUUCUAUUUGUAAAGCAUUUUUCAAGACUAGAGAAGGAGAAACUACUGAGCACAAAAAACUACCCUGACUCUAAGGUUAGGGUAAGAAAGUGGGUUUAAGCUUUUCACUUUUUAACAUCGACAAAAACAUCCGCCUGACUCGAAAUAAGAUGGUAUCAGGUUUUUAUCAAACCAUAACUAAGUAUUUCUUUAUUCUGAGCGUCCCCCACUCAAUUGUCCUUAAAAGCAGGGGUGUGUCUAGACUUUUUGUAUGGGGGUGGCCCUAAACACUCUGUGAACUUACAGUAAAAUCCACUCACUUCGUUAGUCCGGUUUGUACAAUCCCUAACAAAAAGUGUCUCGAACCAUAAAAACACCCUCCCCUCACCCCUACCCCCUUAUAGUAACUCAAUAGCCACAAAUGCAUUGGCACACCUUUUAUACUUGGGCCCCUAACCGUGGACCAAUCAGAGGCUGUAUUUGAAAUCAGCUGACAGAUGUAUGCCUGAGUGCAACUGAGACUACGUUUACGUGUGCCCGGCAAUUUUCAUAAACAGACAUUUCACCCUCUCCAUUGACAAAAAAAAACUGCGUGCAUACCACUACGUUUUCAGACUCGUUUAUACUAACCCGUGUAUAUAUGCCGUCAAGAGCAUGCCAAACCUGUAGGUGGCAGUGUAGCGAGAAGCUCAAGCCCACGUUAGCCAAUCAGAAUCCCGCAUAGCAGCAACAACAACGUCCCCUUCCUCUUUCUGAAAAGAAAAGCAUCGUUUUCAGGGGUGACUUCUCCAUUCGCGUUUAAAGGAAGGGUGCAAACGAUGGUUAAUGUCUCCGGUUUUAAAAAGUAACUGGGUACGUAUAAACGGGGCCUUAAUGUCUGCCUGAAAGCUGAAAGUUCUGACUGACAUCAAAUUAAGUCUGUUCUGUUCUGAGUAUAAACCCUGUAGAAACCACUAAAGCUUGUGUUUGACAAAAACAAAGUGCUGAGGACAGAUUUUAUAUUCUGGACACAACUCUUUGAGUUUCUUUAUCACGCUGUCAGAACUAUUUCUCUUUUGGGUUGUGUUACUUGAACUCUCUGCAGAUAGUGUCAAUGGAGAGGAGAGUCCGCCGGUGUGACACCACUCAGACCGACUGCUCCGGAGCUGUGAUUGGUCACAGUCAGGAUUGGUGCGCUUGUGUUUGGGUCAAAGAGUCAGUCGUAGCAAAGUCGGACAUAAGAUUCAUAAACUUCCCCCUGAUGUAUGUCGGUGCCAGCUGCCUAAAGAUGCACCUGAAAGCAAAGUGAUCUAUCUGUCUCUGCCUGUCCAGGUGUGUUUCCUGACUUGUUUUCUACCUGUUUCUAAUUAGAUGAUUAAAUUGAUUUAUAGUCAGAUGACAAAUGACUUUUUUGAGAGACUGAGACCAAGACUAACUCUAAAAUAACCACCGAAAUGAACACUAAACCACUUAGAAAACAACCCUAAACCAUGCUAAGUCCUCGUUUACUUGUUUUGACCAUAAACUCGUAAAUAUGCAGAAUCACAAAGAAAUCUGACGGAUAUUUCACGGUAACUGUACGUGUUUUUAGUCGUCUCUUUAAAAGAAAAGUAUCAAACUUCAGUAUCUAAGUGAUGAGAAAACCUCACCAUACCUGCAGCGCGCUUUUAGCCGAUGACGUCUCCGACUACAUCGCUCCAACUUUCAAAACUUGCCUCUAAUGACGGACAUCUGUGUGUUUUUAGAGGAAAUGAUGGUUGAAUUCAAGAAGCCUAAACAUUUUUAAAAUACAUGCCAGACUCUUUGACAUGAAACCCCUCAUUUACAGCAUUUCUGUCCUUUUUUUCCUUUUCUCAUAAUGAACCACGGUUUGCCACGGACCAUCAACUGCUGGCUCCUACAGCCUGGUCGUCAUAUCACGAGCUCUUGAAAGACAUUCCCUGCUCAUUAGCUGAUGUCCUGAGGCACAGCUGUCUCUACUUUCUGCUUGUGAAGCUUUUGUUGUUGACCUCCGGGUGCUUUGGCCACCACUCUCCUUUUAUUCUCUUCCUCCCCGUCUCACACACUCAGUUCAUCCCUCGGUUCCCUGUGAUCGCCUCUGGGCAGACCGCGGCUCAUUCUGUAUCUCUUAUGGAUGUCUUUUUAUGGUGCUGGGUGCUGAGAAUCUGAGGCUGCAUCCUUAUUAGGUAACUCUGGUGAUCAAGAGAGGGGUGAAGACGCUGUGAUGGCUGAUGUCUUUUUGCUAAGAUGUGACAAAGCUGUGAUAUUUCAAAAUAAAACCCGAGGCGAGAUAAACCGAGUCUCCUCAGUGUGAUCGUCUCUGUCAUCACAAACCUCCCCCCUGGUCUGGUCAGCUGAAAUGCUUCAUUUUCCAUCCCGGCUCUCAUUGUUAUGACAGCAGGGGUUUUAGUUUUACAGCUGACUCAGGUUACUCUCUGCCUCGUCGAGUCAUAACUGCUGAGUCACUGUACAGCCGUGGGGCCUCGCGCCAUGUCUCCUGAUCAAAGGGGCUUGACCAUCAGCAGAAUAAACCCGACGUCGGUCAUCUGACAUGAGGCGGAGACAUCCAUUUAAACCGGCGCUGACACCUGAUCCGGUAGGUGAGCUUUAGGUGUCAAAUCUGACGUGCACAUUUCAAUUCCAGGCAAGGAUUCUGACUGUCUCCACGCACCAAAUUAGACACUCCUACUACUCUGGCAGCACGCGAAUAGACGGGUUUCUUGUGUACGAACAAAACGAGGUGUGCGCAACCAGGGGGCAAAAGCCUGCUUCAGAGUGAACUGAUACCAAUGAAGAUGUCAUAUUGUUUGCAAGUUCUCCCUGACACAAUUGCAAUAAAAUGUCAUUUCAUUGAAAAAUCACUUUGUCUUUCAUUGCAUCAAAAUCAGAAACACACUUGCUGAAAUGUCCAUGAAUUUCACUCAAUUUACCAGGUUGUGACGUUGUUGUUUUAGAUGUUUCUAAUAUCAGGAGCAGGGUCGUAAUGUUUGCCGAUUGUUUGUUUUGCCGAUUUGUGAAGUUUACAGCACAACAGCUUCUUGUCAUUUUCUUUCUCCGUUGACUACGCUAGUAAACAAAUAAGAAACGUCCCGCUUUCUGCACCCUGGCUGCGCGCGCAUAUCUGCGAUGAUGUUGCACAGAAACCCGUCUAUUGGGCCGGAGCUGAAAGUGUCUCAACUUGAAAGGAUAUUAGCAUCACGAUAGCUAAACAGCACAAAGGUUGCCGGGUAAUGUAUGAAAACGGACGGUUGUUCACUGGUAUCUAAAAUGGAGGACAAACUGAUCGUGUCAGUGUGUGGAUGCCCUGAAUUAUAUGAUACAACUUCUGAACCGUCCUCCAUCUCCUCACCCGUCUUUCCCUCUUUGUUACAGACUGGAUGGGGUGGAGUCACGUCUUAAAGGGACAUAAGACCACAGCCUACCUACACACAUCCAAAACCAGCUUCUAUUUAUUUAUUUUUUGACUGUUUUUUACCAAUUUGGGCAAAAUGAUGUUGGUUGUUGUGGUAAAUUUCGGUAUCUGUAAGUUUUCGGUUUAUCGCCCAGCCCUAGCUUGAAGCUCUGAGACAGACUCCCAGUUUCUGGAACAUUCAGGGGUUUUCAAUCCGACAGAGGAGAUCGGUCUACUUUCAGAGACUGAUCCCUCAUAAACGAAGCUUACCUGUUCUACAUUUUCGGUUUCAUAAUCUUUGGUGUCAAAUCUUUGUGUCAGAGCUCGGGCCAUGUGGGAUUUCUCUUUGCGUGCGUUUAUUCUCUUAAUUAACUCUUAAUCAAACACGACAGAUCAGUCAAAUUCAUGAAUCCCCGAGGAUGGAAAUAAACCCAUACAGCGUUUUUUCAAACUCCAUCACAGCAGGGCCGUGUGCAUACAGUGAGGAGAUGUGCAUUAGAACAUUAACCUCCACCCACACUCACGCACCCUCACGAUGACCCAAAGGCAUUCAACAGAACUGAUGCUGAGAUGUGAAAAUGUGAGGUUGCAUCAAAAGCUGAAGCUGGAAUCACAUAAACUAACCCAGCAGUGACUCAACAUUCGAGCAGAACUAUUCAGCUCGCCUGGAGUAGCACACAGAUGUCUGCUCGCUGUAGGGUGUAACAACUGCGUGACUUGAUCAGUGACUUUCUCUGGUUUUCCUCAGGUUGGGAUUUAAGGAAUAAGACAAAAAAAAAAGCUGCAGCAUAUGGCCAAGAGUGCCGUGUUAUGUAAACUGUAAUCCAGGGAAUUUAAGGCACAAUGAAGACGCAGACAGCCAGCUCAGGCGAUACAGAGUGAUGUGUCUUUAAAAAGGAAAAAGAAAAGGUAAUAAAGGAGGAGAUAGCUGUUUCUGUGCCUGUUUACUCUUUCAGCUGCAGGUGGGAUUAAAUCUGAUUUAAACGGGCGCUUCCUGGCAGGAAAACUCGCAAAAUUAGACAUGAGCUUAAAUAAACAUCUGUGUGUACUCUGGAUAAUGCAAAGUUUAAAAAACAGAAACUGUGGUGAUUAAAACUGAAUCCAGUGUGAGAGUACAGAAAACUGUGAACAAUGUUUAAAUCAGAGUAAAACAGGAAUGAGGAUCAAUUUUCAAAACAAGAUAAUCAAUAAUGUUUGAGAUGAUCAAGUCUGUUAUUGCGUCUCUGGGUUUAGUUGUAGCCCGAAA